rnacentral:rRNA from 1 species
UACGUAGGGUGCAAGCGUUAAUCGGAAUUACUGGGCGUAAAGCGUGCGCAGGCGGUUAUGUAAGACAGAGGUGAAAUCCCCGGGCUCAACCUGGGAACGGCCUUUGUGACUGCAUAGCUAGAGUACGGUAGAGGGGGAUGGAAUUCCGCGUGUAGCAGUGAAAUGCGUAGAUAUGCGGAGGAACACCGAUGGCGAAGGCAAUCCCCUGGACCUGUACUGACGCUCAUGCACGAAAGCGUGGGGAGCAAAC